GCCGGCGUGUUGGAAUUGGCAGACAAGACAGACUCAAAAUCUGUUGGUGCUUGCACCGUGCGGGUUCGACCCCCGCCGCCGGCA
rnacentral:tRNA from 1 species